GUUGGAACAAGAAAAAAAUUUUGGGCAAUCAUCUACUUUGUCUUUUACCUCUGAAGGUAAAAUUUCUGGGCAAUGGCACUGAGGAUUCUGGUCACUCAUCAUCAAAACCUCUGAAGGUAAGGGCUUCAUGCAUUUUGGUAGUAAGGGCUUCAUGCAUUUUGGUAUCUAGCUAAUUAUCUCUGAUUAUAUUGUUUAUUGUCUUUUACUUGCAAAUCACUUAUGUUUUCUUAAGAACAUGGUCUUAGUAGCUAGCAUUGGGACAUGUUAUUGUGCUAUUUUGGGCAAUUUUCAUGCUGUUUAAACUUCAUGAUAAAAUUUACUUUUGAUGUUCUGUCUUCUUUGUAAGAUGGUGUAGAUUUUCUUUCUCAUGGUCAUGAGUUAUUCUCACUGCUGUCUGGUGUUGUUUUCUGGUUUGCUGGUGUAGUUUUCCUUUUAACAGGGGUAUGCAUUGUUGUAGGCAUUGUGAACACCAAUAUAGAAAAUUAUUGAGGUGGGGUCUUCUUAAUGUUUGUUUUCCAAUUGAACAGUUCAAUCUUCAAUUGUUUAAUUUUGUUUGAGUUAUGUGAUUGUUGAAAAAGAAGAGAAAGCCUCAGGAGUACGAGAUGAAACUGAAACCAGCGAAGAAAAUGGUUCAGAUCACUUCCAGGACUUGUCAACCAGACCCAAAGGGAUAUCAUAGAAUAUGGAAACACAUGGACAUGUGGAAGAAAAGGAAACAGGUAUAUGACAAGUGCACAACAAAUGGACUCACAACAAAGACAAGUGCACAAAGGAUGAUGAAUUGAAGGAUGGAGCAAGUUUCAUGCAUGGUUUAUUUUUGUGUAUCUUGUAAUGUUUUUGUUUUUCAUUUUUGAAGUAAAAAAUGUUCAAGAAACUUUAUUAUGUUAUGCUUUCAAACUUAAGUUAGAACUAAGAUCUCAUGAAAUAGACACAUUCAUAGUUUGAAUUAGUUAUUGUUUAAUGUAAUACUUAUGGUUUAUCAAUAU